rfam:Triticum aestivum genome assembly, contig: Triticum_aestivum_CS42_TGACv1_scaffold_162279_2DL
AUACUACUCCCUCCGUUCCAAAAUACUUGACUUCCAUUUGUCUAAAAUUGGAUGUACCUAUAUACUAAAACAUGUCUAGAUAUAUCUAUGUUUUGACAAAUGGAAGUCAUGUAUUGUGGAACGGAGGGAGUAUUUC